rnacentral:misc_RNA from 1 species
CUGAGGUUCGCCCUAUCUCCGCUCUCCAUCAGUCUCUGCUCGUGUGAAUAGCAUAACACAGCGCUGAUAAUUGGAUAUCGAAGUUGAGGACUUGGCUUUAAAAUUGAAGUCGACUACCAAAAUUCUAGCUUAACCAAAAACCAUAACAACUCGUAUAGAAGUCGAAAAAGGUCCAAGAAAUAAGAGAAGACGAUGGCGGCGCAAGGAGGGAGCUUGAAGGCCACCUCCAUAAAUGGAGUCAAGAUGUAUACGGUUUCAUCGCAGCAGCGUUCUCUCGCCACCUGGCUUCCCCCCAAGAAACAACGAGCUCUUCGCAAAGACAGAAAUUAUCAGCAAAGAGUUGAGUUGAUUCAGGACUUGAGCUUUGAAACUGCUACAAGUAAAAUCAAAGCAACUCCUGAUGGAGAGUAUGUUAUCGCAUCAGGAAUAUACCCACCUCAAGUUAAAGUGUAUGAGCUAAGAGAAUUGUCUUUAAAGUUUGAAAGACACUUGGAUUCUGAGAUAAUUGAUUUUCAGAUAUUGGAUAGUGACUAUUCAAAGCUUGCAUUUUUAUGUGCUGAUCGUUCUGUUUGCCUACAUGCGAAAUAUGGAAAACAUUACAGCUUGCGGAUUCCAAGGAUGGGAAGGGAUAUUGCAUAUGAUUGCUGGUCAUGUGACUUGCUUUGUGCUGCUUCAUCUCCAGAUUUAUAUCGGAUUAAUUUAGAACAGGGACGAUUUCUAUCCUCACUCAACACGCAAUCACAGGCCCUGAAUAUAGUUAGUCGUAGGUUGUUGGUGAAUCUUAUCAUAGUUUUAUGCUUAAUAUCUCGGGCUGUUGACCUAUGCUCAACCAAGAUUGAGAUGGUUCAUGUGUUCUGAUUUCAGCAAGCUUCACGGGCUGGUUGCUUGUGGUGGCGAGGAUGGUGCUGUGGAAUGUUUUGAUAUGAGGAUGAGAUCUUCAGUUGGUAGAAUUAAUGCAGUGGCACCUGCUGGUGAUAUUGAUCAGGAGGUCACUGCAUUAGAGUUUGACGAGGAUGGGGGUUUCUUCAUGGCUGUUGGAAGUAGCACUGGGAAGGUAUUGCUUUAUGAUCUGCGAUCCUCACAACCUGUGCGAGUUAAGGAUCAUAUGUAUGGCAGCCCAAUAUUGGACAUUAAGUGGCAUCGAACUCUCAAUUCUGAACGAGAUAUGCUAAUUACUACGGAUAAUCAUAUAGUUAGAAUAUGGGAUCCUGAGACGGGAAAUGGCAUGACAAGCAUUGAACCUACAGCUGGAACGAUAAAUGAUAUAUGUGUAUUCAAUAACAGUGGUUUGAUGUUACUGGCUUUGGACUGCAGCCAGAUACCAUCUUACUUUAUUCCUUCUUUGGGACCUGCUCCUAAGUGGUGCUCUAAUCUUGAAAAUCUAACAGAAGAGCUGGAGGAGAAUGCACAAACAACCAUAUAUGAUGAUUACAAAUUUUUGACAAAAGAAGAUCUUGAAAAAUUGAAUUUGACAAAUUUGAUUGGAACCAAUCUUCUAAGAGCAUACAUGCAUGGCUUCUUCAUUGAUUAUCGGUUGUAUAAGAAGGCAAAAGCAUUGGCAGAUCCUUUUGCCUAUGAAGCUUAUAUAGAGCAGCGGAAACGAGAGAAAUUGGAAGCUCAACUCAAAUCUCGAAUUACGACUAGGAGAAGACUACCCAAGGUCAACCGUGAUCUUGCAGCUAGGAUCCUUGAAAAUGAAGAAGUUGAGAAUGAAAAGAAAGAUGCUGAUGAAAAUGAGACCAAAAAACCAUCAAAGAAAAAGAAAGGACUUAGCAGUGAGUUAUUUCAAGAUGAGAGAUUUGCAUCGUUGUUCAAAAAUAAGGACUUUGAGAUUGAUGAGCAGUCGCGAGAAUAUUUGGCUUUACAUCCACUGGCUUCUGAUUCCAAGAAGCAACCCUCUUUGCUAGAGGAACACUUUGAACCCGUAAUGGAUGAUGAAGAUCAGAAUUUGAGUGAUGAUGCUGCCUCAUCUGAGUCAUCAGAAGAUGAGCCUGGCGAUGAUAAGAGAAAAAUAAAAAAUAAAUCACAAGUUCCAAGAUUAUAUGAAGUGAAGGAUGAGCGGCAUGCAGAGGCAUUCUGGAACAGAGUAUCACUCGCAAAGGAAGAUUCUCUUCCGUUGGGGGAGAGAGUGGCAGCUCUUGGAGAUGACUGGCAAACUUCUGGACUUCCAAACAAUGUGAAGUUGGGACCAGGAGGGUCACGAGAGAUUUCCUUCAUUACAAGAAGCUCAGCCAAGUGCAAGGAGGAUAAGGAAGACACAGAAACAGAAACACGGGGUGCAAAGAGGAGGGGAGUACAGUCAUUAGGUCUAAAGUCCGGUAGAUCAGGAGGGUUUAGAGGUGGCGGAAGAGGGAAUCGGGGGAAGGGCAGAAGAGGCCGACGGUGAACAUGAACACAUCGAUUCAGGUGCAAGUGAUUUCUGACUCGUAUAGCUUUAGCUGCACUUGGUGGCUUCACUGGCACAGCACAACGAUUGAGCUGGUGGCAUUUUAUUCAAUCAAAUUGUACAAGAGAAUGCGAAGGUGCUAGGAUUUUGCUCUUGCCUUUGGUUUUAUCCCAUAUAUACUGGGAAACUUUUUAUUUUUUGAUUAUCAUGUUUUGUUUUAUCCCUUGUAUUUGGAGAGAAACUUGUUUAAAAAAAGGUUGGUGAGAUUGCUAUCAAAAAAGGAGUUGAAGCUUAGCUUGUAUUAUUUUGUAUAGCUAGUUUAUUUGUGUAUUUACAAUUUAUUUUUAACUCAUUAUUAUGUUUCUUUUAAUAAGCAUAUUUUCUUUUAUCAAAA